GUGAAUCAUCGAAUUUUUGAACGCAAAUUGCACUCUCCUCGGAGAGUAUGCCUGUUUGAGGGUCAGCCUAUAAAAAAUCGACAUCGUUGCUGUUUCGCGGUGACGUUCGUCGGAAAUUGGGUCAUCUUAAAUCCUUUUGGUUUUAAGCGACUUAAAAUUUUCUUUUUGGUUCCAUGAACGUUUCUAAGAUUUAUUUCUUACCCGGUUAAGGGGUUCGGUUUUUUAUUAGAGGGACCAAUCA
rnacentral:misc_RNA from 1 species